rnacentral:rRNA from 1 species
GAUGAACGCUAGCUACAGGCUUAACACAUGCAAGUCGAGGGGUAACGAGAGGAAAGCUUGCUUUUCUUGUUGACGACCGGCGCACGGGUGAGUAACGCGUAUCCAACCUGCCUAUAACUAGGGAAUAACCUUGCGAAAGUAAGACUAAUACCCUAUGAUUUCCUUUGAUGACAUCAGAUUAGGAAUAAAGAUUUAUCGGUUAUAGAUGGGGAUGCGUCUGAUUAGCUUGUUGGCGGGGUAACGGCCCACCAAGGCAAAGAUCAGUAGGGGUUCUGAGAGGAAGGUCCCCCACAUUGGAACUGAGACACGGUCCAAACUCCUACGGGAGGCAGCAGUGAGGAAUAUUGGUCAAUGGGCGGAAGCCUGAACCAGCCAAGUAGCGUGCAGGAUGACGGCCCUAUGGGUUGUAAACUGCUUUUAUACAGGAAUAAAGUUAGCCACGUGUGGUUAUUUGUAGGUACUGUAUGAAUAAGGACCGGCUAAUUCCGUGCCAGCCGCCGCCGUAA